UACGUAGGGUGCAAGCGUUGUCCGGAAUUAUUGGGCGUAAAGGGCUCGUAGGCGGUCUGUCACGUCGGGAGUGAAAGCCCUCGGCUCAACUGAGGAAGUGCAUCCGAAACUGGCAGGCUAGAGUACUAAAGAGGGUCGCGGAAUUCCCGGUGUAGAGGUGAAAUUCGUAGAUAUCGGGAGGAACACCGGUGGCGAAGGCGGCGACCUGGGUAGAUACUGACGCUGAGGUGCGAAAGCGUGGGGAGCAAACAGG
rnacentral:rRNA from 1 species